UACGGGGGGAGCAAGCGUUGUUCGGAUUUACUGGGCGUAAAGGGCGCGUAGGCGGUCGUGACAAGUCACUUGUGAAAUCUCCGGGCUUAACUCGGAACGGUCAAGUGAUACUGUCGGACUAGAGUACAGAAGGGGCAACUGGAAUUCCUGGUGUAGCAGUGAAAUGCGUAGAUAUCAGGAGGAAUACCGAUGGCGAAGGCAGGUCUCUGGGCUGACACUGACGCUCAUGCACGAAAGCGUGGGGAGCAAACAGG
rnacentral:rRNA from 1 species